rnacentral:rRNA from 1 species
GCCAACGGCCAUACCACGAUGAACACACCAGUUCUCGUCCGAUCACUGAAGUUAAGCAACGUCGGGCCCGGUUAGUACUUGGAUGGGUGACCGCCUGGGAACCCCGGGUGCUGUUGCUA